ACGGUCGCAAGAUUAAAACUCAAAGGAAUUGACGGGGACCCGCACAAGCGGUGGAUGAUGUGGAUUAAUUCGAUGCAACGCGAAAAACCUUACCUACCCUUGACAUGGUCGGAAUCCCGCUGAGAGGUGGGAGUGCUCGAAAGAGAACCGGCGCACAGGUGCUGCAUGGCUGUCGUCAGCUCGUGUCGUGAGAUGUUGGGUUAAGUCCCGCAACGAGCGCAACCCUUGUCCUUAGUUGCUACGCA
rnacentral:rRNA from 1 species